UGUUAGCUUUAGAUUAACUUGUUUGCUUUAUUACUUUGCUUUGUUUCCUUUACUGACUUGUGUGGUUGUUGCUUUGUUUCAGGAUCAGUAAAGACAUGUGCGAGAUGAAGACAAAAGAUGGUGUCCCUUCCUUGUUCAGUCACGGAUCAUUUCAUUUGCUUAUUCUGUAUGCUUGCUUAUGGUUGUAUGUGUCACGGGAUGUAUGUGUCACGGAGAGUCACGGGUUGCUUUGUGCUUGUUGUUGCUUUGUAUUUUGAACUUCUAUUUAUAAGUCAGUGUCUGUUGCUUUGUAAUUUGAACUUCCCUUGUAUCAUCUCAUCAAUGAAAUCUCUUUCUUCUUAUUCCAAGCUUUGAAGCAAACUUUGCUUGUAUCAUGUCACGCCAAGAAAACCAACAAGUGAUGAAACUUAAACCAUUCUUUCCUCCUCUUCUACUUCUCUAAAAUUCACGGCAAUAAAACCAACAACUCAAGACACAACUACUUCUCAAAUCACAACUUAUCAGUAUGGGAGAUGAAGUCGAUCGAAGAUUGAAUGCGGCAUUGGAUAAUGCUGUCGAUGAAUAUAUUGAAGACACAUACAACAACAUCGUCAACAACCAAACAAAGAAACAAAGCAACCGUGCAUAUGUCGAACGAAACCGCGAAGAGGGCCACACAGGACUAUGGAAUGACUACUUCAGUGAAAAUCCUACAUUUCCGCCUCAUUUAUUCAGACGACGUUUCCGCAUGAACAAGGCGGUAUUCAUGCGUAUUGUCGAUCGCCUCUCAGAAAAUUUUCCCUUCUUUCAACAAAGAAAAGAUGCAACUGGGAGGUUAGGUCUAUCUCCACUCCAAAAGUGUACGGCGGCUCUUCGUAUGCUUGCUUAUGGUUGUGCUGCUGACGCCGUUGACGAAUAUCUCUGACUUGGUCAAAGCACAGCACUUUCAUGUUUAAGCAAUUUCACAGAAGGCGUAAUACAGUUAUUUGGAGAUGAGUAUCUACGAAGACCCACUCCAGAGGAUCUUCAGCGACUACUCGAUAUUGGAGAGAUACGCGGCUUUCCUGGGAUGAUAGGAAGCAUUGACUGUAUGCAUUGAGAGUGGAAAAAUUGCCCAACUGCCUGGAAAGGACAGUACACACGUGGAUCAGGAAAGCCAACAAUUGUCUUGGAGGCUGUAGCUUCACAAGAUCUUUUGACAUGUCACACUUUUUUUGGUCCUCUAGGUACCUUAAACGAUAUUAACGUCCUCGAUCGGUCUCCUGUUUUUGAUGACAUUUUACAAGGUCGAGCUCCAAGGGUAAAAUAUGUGGUCAACGGGCACCAGUAUGAUUUGGCAUACUACCUCACAGACGGCAUAUAUCCAAAAUGGUCAACAUUUAUCCAAUCUAUCUCAAACCCUCAACGUCCUGAAGCAGAUGUUAUUUUCUAAAGUUCAAGAAGAAACCCGAAAAGAUGUGGAGCGUGCUUUUGGAGUUUUGCAAGCUCGAUUUGCAAUAGUGAAAAACCCGGCUAUUUUGUGGGACAAGAGACAAAUAGGGAUGGUUAUGCGAACAUGUAUCAUACUGCACAAUAUGAUAGUAGAAAAUGAACGCAAUGGAUACACUCAGUAUGAUACAUCAGAGUUUGAAGAAGGAGACUCGAGUAGAAGUUCACAGGUGGAUAUGUCAUAUUCUCCGAAGCCUUCAAAUCUCCGUACUAUGCUUGACAUACGGAGUCGUGUUCGUGACCCACACAUACAUGGACAAUUGAAAUAUGAUUUGAUUCAAAAUAUUUGGAAUAAGUUUGGUAAUGAUGAAGAUGUUUAAUUAUUGUAUGUUUACAUUUUGUUUUUCAAUAAAUGAAAAUUUUUAAUUCCAAA